AUCUUAGAUAUCAGGCUGAGAUUUAUUCUUUUCAUUUAAAAAUAACUACUUAUUUAGGAAAAUCACAUCUUUUAUUAUACUAAGACCAAAAAUGAUGUUUCCCAAUGGUUCUUAUAAGAAACCCUUAAGCAUACCUAAGAAGUUUCAUGGCUAAAUCUUAUAUUUCAAUAUAAGUCUAUAUUUUGGGAAAUAGUAUUCUCUCUUUUAUGAUGAUGGCUAUGAUAACUUUCAUCAUAACAUGGCUUCAUGUACUCUUGUAUCACCAAGAGUUUUCAAAUAAAGGAAUAUUUGCCAUUUGUAUGUCCAACCUUGGUUUACUAAUUCCCUACACUGAACUGUCUACAAAAUCAGGGGUGUUAGAUUACACCUGAGAACACACAACUCUGGUUUGCUUCUCACUCGGGAUAUCCUUAUAGUUUGAAUGGUGAAUAUAGCGAGUGCUACCGUGUUAUUUUUCUGUGAUUGUGAGAUGGCUUUCUACAAUGUGCCAAGCUCCAGGCUGAGUACU
rnacentral:lncRNA from 1 species